rnacentral:tRNA from 1 species
GCGGGAUUAGUAUAGUGGCAGUAUAUUUGCUUCCCAAGCAAAGGGCGCCGGUUCGAUUCCGGUAUCCCGCU